rnacentral:rRNA from 1 species
AUGCAAAUUCAUUCCUUUGUAGCGGAUAUAAUUACUAUUGCAGCUUUGGCCAUGCGAGAUGGCCUUGUGUUUGCGAACGCCCUUGGAUGUAAUCGAGUGGAAGCGGAAUCAGAUUCUCUGCAGGUCAUCAAUUUUUGCAAUGGUCAAACAACUUGGUGGGACAUUGCAGCGCCCAUUUUCGGAGAAUGUCUAGACACUAGUAAUUCAAUUGGAAAGGUCAUUUUUAAGCACUGUUAUCGAUCUUGUAAUCAAGCGGCUCAUGUGCUAGCUCAUUUUUGUUAUUGUAAUAAGACUUCUUUUAGCUGGUUGGACGAGCCUCCUGACAUUGUUGUCAGCAGGAUCAUAGACGAUGUAAGCCUAUUUUAA